UCCGCUUUGCCUGGCCUGAGGAAGUUGGCAGGCGUUGGGCCCGCCCCGCGGGGGUAGCGCCUGCCGCAGGGGGUCGCUCUUACCUCCGCACUGGCCCGCCGGGGGCACCAAGUCCACGCAUGAGGAACCAAUAAGAUUGCCAGAGGUGUGGAGCCCAGCACUGCUCCCCUAUCUUUACAUGUAUGGUUUCUACACACCUCUGAAAACAAUGAGGAAUUUAUGGGGCACAAACAGUGAAAUGCCUUCUGACGAAGACAUAGUACAUGCUGGUUACUACCACCCAUUCAUUGUGAGAGUCACAGAACUACCUUGAACACAGAGAAAAACGGGACUGUCCUCUACAUGAAAAUUACAACUGGGCACCGAAUCACUACGCAUGCCUAGUUUACUGAAACACAGAUGCUAAUGCAACUAUCUGUCUGCAUAAAUACUCAAAUCCUAAAGAAGGUAAUUCUGAUGUAGAACUUUCUGAUUGUUUGGCAUUGUAUGUUAAUACCAGGCUUUGAGCCUGUUUUAGAACAAGAAAAGAAUUAACAGUGGAAUGAAAAGGGCAGCGACUGCUUACAACAUGGUCAUAAACAUUCUCCGCCAAAAUCCCUUUAAUGCUGCCCAAGCAGAGCCCAGAAGAAGAGAAUAAAAUGGGUAUGGCAUAUAGGAAAGAUGACAAAGGCCUUGUCUAUGCAGGAAAUUAAGUCAAAUCAACUAAAGAUGAGAAUUUAAAGCAGGUUAAACUCCUGUGUGGAUGCUCUCAUUCAGAAAUAAAGUGACUUUUAUUUCAAUUUA